CUGGUCCUCUAGGCAACCCGGGCUCCGACGCCCUGGGUAACAGCCACCUCCGAAUCCCUGGGGCACAGGCGGCCCCGCCCCAAACAGCCAGGAAUCUCCCUGAACUUUGUUCCUGAGCCGCCUUUGUCCUGCGCCUAGCAUUCAGGGAGGCUGUCUGGUCGCCCCAUGUGACUCGGGUUCGUCUACCCUGCCUUUACGUGACCUUGAUCCUCUCCGUAGAAAUGGGCGCUGCCUUAGAAUUCCUGCGGAGACUUCAGAGAAGACUUUCCAGGGAACUGAGAAGGGGUAUUCCCCUGCCGCCCCGCGGCUUCCUGCUCCACUCUCAGCCUUCUUCCCCACUCCUCUCUCAUUAACUCUCAGAUUGGCUCGAAGAAGCAGCUACAGGUGAAUCCUAACCAGCGCCACGGGAACGCCCCACCCUCUUCAGAGAUGCCUCCUGCUCUUUCCCGAGGGACUAUUUCUGCAAAUUCAGAGCCUCGGGCUUUUGAAAAAGAAGGAUAUUUAACGCCCCUCCCCAAUACCGCGGAAUUGUACCCCAACCCUGAUCUUGCUCAUAAUACCAGCCUCCUCUUUAUUCUUCCCUUCCCCCAAAUAAUGAUAGUUCUUGCCUUCUGUACCCUACCAUGGUAAGGAGUUCAGUCUGUGAGCAAUAGGGGUCCAUAGAAGGCUCUUGAGCCAGGAAGGGCACAGUUAUGAUUAAGGUUGCGUUAUAAAGAUGAUUCUGGGAAAGGCAGAGGCAAGAAGCGAGAAGACUAUUCCAGCAGUCUAGACUAGAUGGGGUGGGAGUUCUCACCAAGGCAGCCCACUCCAACUGGGCCUAAUAGUGGCACCAAUGAUGGUGUCAGAGGCUUUCCUCCUUGAUCCUCAAAUAUCUGGGCUCUAAAUACCUUUCUGACAGCUUAUACAUUUGUAAUUCAUUUUGAACAUUGACCAUGUGCCAAACACUGUGCUAGAUGCUUUAUAUAUGGUAACUCUUAAUCCUCCUAAUGACCUUAGGAACUAAAUAUCAUUACUAUCCCCAGUUUGCAAAGAGGUUAGACCACUUAGUCAAGGUCACCCAGCAGGAAGUGGCAGAGCAAGUCUAGGUGACACAGUAGCUUUUGUUCUGGCACAGAGGAACUGGCAUUCAAGCCAGGUUUAUCAACUGGAAAUCACCCAUGCAAGCCCCAAAUUCCAGCCAAAUGGAUGAGUUUGCCCCAACUUGAGCUGAUCUUCUACUUGCUCUUCUCUACCAGGAACUCUCUCCCUCAUAGCUUCCCUCUAGUGAAGUUCUCUGUCUUUCAAGGUCAGCCUCAGUGUCUGCCUUCUCCAGGCGGACUCUGUUUACCCUGGCCCAGAGUGAUGCUCUUGUUCCCCAACUGUCUGUUUCAACUACUCCUUUGGCACCCAGCAUAGCUGGCCUUGUUUUAUAUUUCUCUCCUCUUGCUCUUCUGACAUGUCAAUUAAACUAUAAACUUUGGUGAGUAUAUCAUA